CACAGAUCAGGCAACGAUCGGCAAGUCUUUCCUUCAAAUCAACAACUAGCUAAGAUGACGAGUACCAAAAUGUUGCUCGUGGUCGCCUUCCUCAUGCUAUCAUCAGAUGUGGUAAUGGAGGUGUCGGCGGGCAUUAGCAGUCAUCCCAUCUCCUGUAUGUCAAGCAUUACUCACCCAUCACCAAAGCCAUGUGAUAACCAAAUUUGUCGUGAGACAUGCGUCAAACGUAUAGGGUACGGCACAGAAGGCGAGUGUGUUGCAAAGGGGUGCCAGUGUACGUUCUGCACAAAAUGGCCUCCCCGACAAUCAACAAAUGAGCAUUGAUUUAGACAGGAUGCAUAGGAUGUCAUUUUGAAUUGAAUAAUGCAGCAAAAUCAUUAAUAAUGUAGAGCACCGUUGUUCACUGAUAAGUCAUAUGAAGAAUGAUGAAUUUGGACUUGCUUC